rnacentral:rRNA from 1 species
GAUGAACGCUGACAGAAUGCUUAACACAUGCAAGUCUUUGGCGAAGCUGUGCUUGCACAGCCUAGCCAAGGCGGACGGGUGAGUAACGCGUAAGGAACUUGCCCUGCAGUCAGGGAUAACAGACGGAAACGACUGAUAAGACCUGGUAAAGUCAGGCGGACUCAUGUCCAGCCUGAUGAAAAGAGAUGCUGCAGGAGAGCCUUGCGUCCUAUUAGCUUGUUGGUGGGGUAACGGCCCACCAAGGCGAUGAUAGGUAGCCGGCCUGAGAGGGUGGACGGCCACAAGGGGACUGAGAUACGGCCCUUACUCCUACGGGAGGCAGCAGUGGGGAAUAUUGGACAAUGGGGGCAACCCUGAUCCAGCAAUUCUGUGUGCACGAUGAAAGUUUUCGGAUUGUAAAGUGCUUUCAGCAGGGAAGAAAAAAUGACGGUACCUGCAGAAGAAGCGACGGCUAAAUACGUG